rnacentral:rRNA from 1 species
AUACGGAGGGUGCAAGCGUUAAUCGGAAUUACUGGGCGUAAAGGGCGCGUAGGCGGUCUAUCAAGUCAGGUGUGAAAUCCCACGGCUCAACCGUGGAGGUGCAUCUGAAACUGAUAGACUUGAGUAUGGGAGAGGAAAGUGGAAUUCCCGGUGUAGAGGUGAAAUUCGUAGAUAUCGGGAGGAACACCAGUGGCGAAGGCGACUUUCUGGACCAAUACUGACGCUGAGGCGCGAAAGCGUGGGGAGCAAACAGGAUUAGAUACCCGAGUAGUCC